CAGCUGCGGGCGCCCGGCCGCUGGCUGCGCUAGGACUCUCAGCCGCCGGUCGCCGCGGGCUGGUGGGGAGGGAGGAGGGAGAGGGCCCGGGAGCCUGGCGCCCGCCCGGGCGCAGCGCGGCAUGUAGCUGCGGGCGCCCGCGUGAGGGUGUCGGCCGGGGGCCCCGCCAUGGCUGGGAAAGACAGUGGGAACCUGAAGACGGUGAGGCUGUGGCGGGACGCCGCCCUGCGCGCCAGGAAGCUGCGGAGCAACCUGCGCCAGCUCACGCUCAGCGCGGCCGGGGGCUACCCGGGGGCCGGCGCCGAGCAGCUCGACUCCCCCGACGCCCCCCAGCUCGUGCUGCCGGCCAACAUCGGGGACAUUGAGGUGCUGAACCUGGGCAACAACGGCCUGGAGGAGGUGCCCGACGGGCUGGGCUCGGCGCUGGGCAGCCUGCGCGUCCUGGUCCUGCGCAGGAACCGCUUUGCCCGGCUGCCCCCAGCCGUGGCCGAGUUGGGCCACCACCUCACCGAGCUGGACGUGAGCCACAACCGGCUGACCGCCCUGGGCGCCGAGGUGGUGAGUGCCCUGCGGGAGCUGCGCAAGCUCAACCUCAGCCACAACCAGCUGCCCGCCCUGCCCGCCCAGCUGGGUGCGCUGGCCCACCUGGAGGAGCUGGACGUCAGCUUUAACCGGCUGGCACACCUGCCCGACUCCCUCUCCUGCCUCUUCCGCCUGCGCACCCUUGACGUGGACCACAACCAGCUCACUGCUUUCCCCCGGCAGCUGCUGCAGCUGGCGGCCCUGGAGGAGCUGGACGUGUCCAGCAACCGGCUGCGGGGCCUACCUGAGGAUAUCAGUGCCCUGCGCGCCCUCAAGAUCCUCUGGCUGAGCGGGGCCGAGCUUGGCACUCUGCCCAGCGGCUUCUGCGAGCUGGCCAGCCUCGAGAGCCUCAUGCUAGACAACAACGGGCUGCAGGCUCUGCCCGCCCAGUUCAGCUGCCUGCAGCGACUCAAAAUGCUCAACCUCUCCUCCAACCUCUUUGAGGAGUUCCCUGCCGCGCUGCUGCCCCUGGCUGGUCUGGAGGAGCUCUACCUUAGUCGCAACCAGCUCACCUCAGUGCCAUCCCUGAUCUCGGGCCUGAGCCGGCUGCUCACCCUCUGGCUGGAUAAUAACCGCAUCCGCUACCUGCCCGACUCCAUUGUGGAGCUGACAGGCCUGGAGGAGCUGGUGCUGCAAGGGAACCAGAUCGCCGUGCUGCCGGACAACUUCGGCCAGCUCUCCAGGGUGGGCCUGUGGAAGAUCAAGGACAACCCGCUGAUCCAGCCCCCCUACGAGGUCUGCAUGAAGGGGAUCCCCUACAUCGCUGCCUACCAGAAGGAGCUGGCUCAUUCACAGCCAGCGGUGCAGCCCCGCCUAAAGCUUCUUCUGAUGGGCCACAAGGCUGCAGGGAAGACCUUGCUCCGUCACUGCCUCACUGAGGGGAGAGUGGAGGGAAACCAAGGAGGAGGGGACAAGGAAAAGAGCUACCCCCCUUCCGCUCCUUCUGGGAGCAAAGGCAUUGAGGUGACCAGCUGGACAGCUGAUGCUUCCCGGGGCCUGCGGUUCAUUGUGUAUGAUUUAGCUGGUGAUGAAAGUUACGAGGUGAUCCAGCCCUUCUUCCUCUCCCCAGGAGCCCUUUACGUGCUGGUGGUGAACCUGGCCACCUACGAGCCCCACCGCUUUCCCACUGCCGUGGGCUCCUUCUUGCAUCGGGUGGGGGCCCGGGUGCCCCAUGCCGUGGUGUGCAUCGUGGGCACGCACGCAGACUUGUGCGGGGAGCGGGAACUGGAGGAGAAGUGCCUGGACAUUCAUCGCCAGAUUGCCGUGCAGGAGAAGCAUGAUGCAGAGGGGCUCAGUCGGUUGGCCCAGGUGGUGGACGAGGCCCUGGCCCGGGACUUUGAGCUGCGCUCUGCCAGCCCCCAUGCGGCCUACUAUGGGGUUUCAGACAAGAACCUUCGGCGACGCAAGGCCCAUUUUCAGUACCUGCUCAACCACCGGCUGCAGAUCCUCUCCCCGGUAUUGCCUGUUAGCUGUAGGGACCCUCGCCAGUUACAGCGCCUGCGGGACAAACUGCUCUCGGUAGCUGAGCACAGGGAGAUCUUCCCCAAUUUACACCGAGUACUGCCUCGAUCGUGGCAGGUGCUGGAGGAACUGCAUUUCCAGCCACCUCAGGCACAGCGACUGUGGCUCAGCUGGUGGGACUCGGCGCGCCUGGGCCUGCAGGCUGGUCUGACUGAGGACCGGCUGCAGAGUGCCCUUUCUUACCUGCACGAGAGCGGCAAGCUGCUCUACUUUGAGGACAGCCCAGCCCUCAAGGAGCACGUCUUCCACAACCUCACCCGCCUCAUCGACAUUCUCAAUGUCUUUUUCCAGAGGGAUCCUUCCUUGCUGCUGCACAAGCUGCUUCUAGGGACCAGCGGUGAGGGUGAGGGUGAGGACGAAAGCUCCCCACUGAUGGCGAUGCCCACCCCGGGUCAGGAACUGCUCCGGGCCACCCAGCUCCAUCAUUAUGUGGAGGGCUUUCUGCUUCACGGGCUCUUGCCAGCGCAUGUCAUUCGGCUGCUGCUGAAGCCUCACGUCCAGGCCCAGCAGGACUUGCAGCUGCUGCUGGAGCUGCUGGAGAAGAUGGGACUCUGUUACUGCCUCAAUAAACCCAAGGGCAAGCCUUUGAAUGGGUCCACGGCUUGGUACAAGUUCCCAUGCUAUGUGCAGAAUGAGGUGCCCCAUGCAGAGGCCUGGAUUAAUGGGACCAACCUGGCCGGGCAGUCUUUUGUGGCUGAGCAGUUGCAGAUUGAAUAUAGUUUUCCCUUUACCUUUCCACCUGGCUUGUUUGCACGCUACAGCGUCCAGAUCAACAGCCACGUGGUGCACAGAUCGGAUGGGAAACUUCAGAUCUUUGCAUAUCGAGGGAAGGUUCCCGUGGUGGUCAGUUACAGACCUGCCAAGGGGGUUCUGCAGCCAGACACUCUGUCCAUUGCCAGCCAUGCAUCAUUACCAAAUAUAUGGACGGCAUGGCAAGCCAUAACCCCCUUGGUGGAGGAACUGAAUGUCCUACUUCAGGAAUGGCCUGGACUGCACUACACCGUGCACAUUCUCUGUUCUAAGUGCCUUAAGAGAGGGUCGCCCAAUCCGCACGCUUUCCCGGGGGAGUUGCUGAGUCAGCCCAGACCAGAAGGAGUGGCAGAGAUCAUUUGCCCUAAGAACGGCAGCGAGCGAGUGAAUGUUGCCUUGGUUUACCCACCUACACCGACUGUGAUCAGCCCCUGUUCUAAGUCUCUCCAUACUUUCUUGGAAAAUUAAAUGGAAAAGAUAGUGCUUCUUUCCCCUAUGUCAUCAUUUUUACUGUACCCAAUCUGUGACUUUAGGAGCGCCAAUUUUUAAGGUGAACUAUUCCCUCUUGGUGCCCUUGCUUAGACAUUCUUGUGUUUCUGUCCUACGUGUGGCUCAGGGGAACAGACAGCCAGACACAACCGUCUGCAUUUCCAAAGGCUCAUUAGAGUCAGUGAGAACGACAUUGGCACAGCACACCCCCCUCGCAAGGCCAGAGCUCACACUGCCAAAGGAAGAACGUUGGUGAAAAGCACAGAAACCAAUGACUUCUAUGGCUAUGGAAUUUCCGUGGAGAAAAGAGAGCAUCCGAACUCACCUGGACCAUCUUUCAUACCUGGCACACCUUCCACGCUCCCACACGUGUUCUGUGCACUUGAGCGAAUAGACGUUCAGGAUCCUUGCUGCGGAGGGCGAGCACCUGGCCUCCAGCAGAAGUGGGGAGGGGAGGGGCGGGGGGAGGCUGGGGGAGAACAUGGAGCAAAUGUUUUACAACCUGAACCUCAGAACUGUGAUCCUCCGAGGAGAGCGCUACUUGAAGAAAAGGAAAAAAAAAAAAAAAAGUCAAAUGGCUUCUCAGGGAUUUUGUUUUCUGUGCACAUAAAAGCCAUAGUUCCAGUACAGGUGGCCGUGUUUUGAGCACUCAGAUUUCAGUUCUGUUAAAUGUGAAAGAGGGAUCGACUGACCGUUCAUUGCUGUUCCGUAACUAGUGUAAAAUAUGUAUAUGUUUAUCUUUAUUUUUAUAAUAUGCAAAUACAUUUAAAUUUAUACAGUUUGAUGCUUCUAGCGUUAGUUCACACUGGGUGCAAUAUUCUGCAUGAGAACUGUGCCAAGAUGGGGCUGAUUUCUUAUUUUAGCGUAAGACCAUUUUGUUCAUUCUUUAUUCUUUAAUCCUGAGAUUAAAAAAAAAAUCUCUCUGCCCACGGAUUAAGUGUUGGGGUCAUAGAGGUUGCCGAUAAUCAGCAAGGACCUUAAAGGCGUAUGUCAGGCAGUGUCUCCUCCCCGUCUUUGAAAUAAAGGUCCCUGCCUGUCAGCCUGUUUGUUGGGCAGGCUGCUGGGAUUCCUGUUUCGCUCUGCCCACCCGUCCACGAGCGCUGGGCCAAGUGGUCCUUGCCCCGGGAGGGGUUUCGUGUUAACAGUGCGUGGUCACUGGCUGAUGCUCCGAGGGAGGCCUGGUGCUGGGAUUCUUCAGGGGAGGGGACAGAGGGGUCAACGCAUUCAUGGAGAACCUGAGUCUUUCACUAGAUAAAGAUAAUCAGGAGUCAGCUGUGAAUGGUGCACAGAGCUCUGCUCACGAGCUCUCUCUCUCUGCAGCAGAGUCUGUGAAAUUUAGCAGAGCACUCUGAUAGCUCCCCGCAUCGGGCUGUCAGACCUUACCGUAGGGAGUUGCCUCGCUGGAGGGCAUGAUCCCACGUUGGUUAUUUAGAAAUACAGAGCCCCCGAUUGGAUGGUCACCUGCCAAGAACUAGCAAAACCAUUGUCGUUCAGGGUCCACAAAGUAAACCGGGAAAAGCAAAGCAAAUUGCUCUCUCAUCCACUCCGAAUCGAGGCCAAACGUAUCCUCUGAGUAGUAACACAUUCUUUGAAGAAUGUAAAGGACUCUGUUUACAGCUGCCUCCUCUGUGUUGAUGGAAAAAUGUGUAAAACAGUUUCUCACCAGCGUAAGGCAUGAAAAGUGAGUCAGCUGGUAUUAUUCUUUUCCUUCUUUUAUCCAGUAUUGACUCUUGCAAUGCCAAUAUACAAGGUGUCGACGUAUUUUUAAAAGGAAUAACAAACUAGCAAGCGGCUGCAUUGUGAAAAAUCCCAAGGUGAUUUUCGCAGAUUUUGUGCCCCAGGCGUUGACUUCACUAACUCCAGAACCUCAGUUAAAUGAGUAUGAUUUCUCAUGGUCAUAAAAUCAAAUGGGAUCAGACUCUUUCUGCAUAUUUGGAUACUUGAAUGUAACACCUCAAUUUUGAGAUUUCAUUUCUUUUUAGAACAGUCACAAGAUCACCUGCUUAAUCCUUUUGUCACAGUUCUUGUGUGAGCGUGUGCGUGCAUGCGUGUGUGUGUGUGUGUGCAUGUGAGCCUAAUGGUAACAUUUAAUUUCUUUAUGGACCAUCGAAUUGUUGGGCAUAGGAGUUUUGUAGUUGGCAUGAGAUGGUUCCUAAACUGUCACGUUUACCGACGUGGACCAGUCUUCCGCAAAGACUCUUCAGGAUGUGACUUCAGGCUAUCUCCCCAGGGGACCAUAUUAAAUGAAAAAAAAAAAAUUGCUCCUUUGGGUGACAUACCCUGCAAAAUGUUUGUUAUUCUUAUGAACAUAAAUGCCCACAUUCUUAAUAUCUGCUAUUUUUUGACAAGUGACGUUUUGUGCUGUCAUCUGAACCCUAGAGAAGCAGUAUAAGAGGAAAUCUUGGUGUCGCGUGUGUUUUAGCAAAAAGGUCUUCGUGCCUGAGGGUCACAUGACCAGAAGAAGCUCCAGGAAAGCUCGAGACCUUGCUUCAGGGUGCGAGGAGGGUUGGAGAUACAGAAAGCACUCUGCUCUACAGAAAUGCUCAGUGUCUAUGCAGGCAGUUGCGUACCUGGGAAGGCAUAGCCGGCCGAGGCUGACAGGCAGUUCACUAAAGCACAAGGGGGGGGUCUCUCGAGACCCAGUCGCCCCUUUGCCUCUCAAACAAGCGCCCUUCAAGUUUAUUAUGGUUUCUAUUCCUGCAACUUGUGGUAUCAAAACCACUUCCUGGAAUUGUACGAGUGCUGCCAGAAUUAAUGUUUUUUCCCCCUUCCAAGAAAAAAAAUGACAGUGCUCAUAUGUGACAUUUGUGCAUUGGACUCUUUUGAAUGAAUAAAAAGGAAAGGGUUUGGUACAAUUCCUGAUGGGGUGUGUGUGUGUUCUUUUUCAUGCCACAGUUUGUAAAUUGUACUUGUGGUUUCCCCUUGAAUUGUCUUGACUGGGCAGAAAUUAAAAAAAAAAAAAUUCAAAAAAGUUCAAUAAAAAUACGAAGAUAUGGUUAAGCAAUUAUA